rnacentral:ncRNA from 1 species
UCAGUUUGAUUCUGGCUGACAAUUUAGCUCUCUUAAACUAAUAUACAUGUAAGUCUAAGCUACCCCGCACCACAUAUAAACCCUAAAUGGAGAAUAACUAUAUUAGACAUAUCUCAUAUGGUAAAGCGUCACAGUAAGAAAAUCUACCUUAUUGCAAAAGCAAGAGCUGGUUAUUAAGAUCAGAGUUGGCAAUAUUCGUGCCAGCUGCCGCGGUUAGACGAUAAACUCAAGCUAAUUCAUAUAAGACUAAUUGCAAGGCGAUCUAAAAAAUAACUCAAAGUCUAAUUUAUAUAAUCCGAGACCCGUAAACGCCUAUUUACCGUAAAACCAUAGACUAAAACACGGAUUAGAUACCCGUCUAUUUAUGGAGUAACUAAAGUCGAAAAAUACGAACUACAGUUUAAAACUUAAAGAUUUUGGCGGUGUCUUAUCAACCCAGGGGAACCUGUCUCAUAACUCGAUAACCCACGACACUCUCACCCUCCCUAGACUAAACAGCUUGUGUACUGCCGUCGUAAGCACACCUCUAAAAGCCAAGGAAGUGUGCAAUAAUGAUUGUCUCACCCACGUCAGGUCAAAGUGCAGCCCAUGGACGGAGAUGAUGGGUUACACCUAAACAAAGAUACGGAAUACAGCAUUAAGAGCUGUGUAAAGGAGGACUUGAGUGUAACAGUAUUACAAAAUUAAAGUGAAUCUGAAUCUAAGACAUGCACACAUCGCCCGUCACUCUCGCCUAAAGGCGAGAUAAGUCGUAACAAAGUAGGUGUAACGGAAGUUGCCCCUGU